GCGCGAAAACUUUACAAUGCUGGCAACAGCGAUAAGGGAACCUCGAGUGCCAGGUUACAAAUCUGGCUGUCGAGAUGCCUAAAAAGCAUUUCAUAGCAAGGGCCGGGCAAGACCGGUGCCAGCCGCCGCGGUAACACCGGCGGCUCGAGUGGUAACCGUUAUUAUUGGGUCUAAAGGGUCUGUAGCCGGCCGGAUAAGUCUCUUGAGAAAUCUGGCAGCUUAACCGUCAGGCUUUCAGGAGAUACUGUCUGGCUCGAGGCCGGGAGAGGUGAGAGGUACUUCAGGGGUAGGGGUGAAAUCUUGUAAUCCUUGAAGGACCACCAGUGGCGAAGGCGUCUCACCAGAACGGACCUGACGGCAAGGGACGAAAGCUGGGGGCACGAACC
rnacentral:rRNA from 1 species